ACGACGUUGGGUCCCUGUGGCCCAAUCUCCAACCCUCUGUCUAUCUAAACUCUUGUUGCUUUGGCGGGCCGUUGGGUCUGACCCACCGCUGGCUUCGGGCUGGCGAGCGUCCGCCAGAGUCAUUUAGAAAACGCUUUGUCCAUGAUGUCUGAGUACAUAUAUAAAUUAUCA
rnacentral:misc_RNA from 1 species